rnacentral:rRNA from 1 species
UACGGGGGGGGCAAGCGUUGUUCGGAAUUACUGGGCGUAAAGGGCUCGUAGGCGGCCAACUAAGUCGGAUGUGAAAUCCCCAGGCUCAACUUGGGAACUGCAUCCGAUACUGGAUGGCUUGAAUUCGGGAGAGGGAUGCAGAAUUCCAGGUGUAGCGGUGAAAUGCGUAGAUAUCUGGAGGAAUACCGGUGGCGAAGGCGGCAUCCUGGACCGACAUUGACGCUGAACGGCGAAAGCUAGGGGAGCAAACGGG